UCCAGGUCAAGGGGCAAAGCUUCAUUGUGAUGUUUAGUAAAUGGGCAAAGUUCCUAUUGAAUUCCCAAUUGAUAAGGAGUGAGGUGGGACCUUUUAUGGGAAAAGACCCAGUGUGCUAACUAUGUUAAUUAUGUUGUCAAUAAAUGAACCAGUGGUCAUGGCUGUGCUGUUUAUAUAAGAUAGCCUCAGGAACUGACAUCUAUAGCUUAACCUCCAGAUUGUGUAAAGUAACUGUACAAGUAAAUAUAUACAGACUGGGAUUCAAUAACGAAAAACAUGUUCAUAUGAUAUUUUAUCAUCAGCAUCUUCAAGUAUAUGUGUAUAAUCAAGUUGCAUUACUGAUCCAUCUGUAGGAAGCUCAUCCACAAGCAUUCAUGCUUGGUUGAGGCCCAGUUCCUCUGAAGUAGAGAUUCCCAAUUCAUCUAAAGUUGGUCUAAGUAACUGGAUAAUAUAUGGACAGAUUUCUUUAUUUGGUCCUACUUUGUCCUUUACAGCCUCUAGAAUGUGAACUGCAAGUAGCAAAAUCAUCUAACCAUCUGCACGCCCUCAAAACAGCAUCAAUGAUUUUGAGUUCCUGAACCAGGUUCUAGCCAACCAAUGGACCCAUUCCUUUUCAUAAUGGACAGACAUUAAGAUCCGGUUUGCUGAAGUAUGUCACCCAGUGAGCAUCAAAUGCCUCAUCUAUCUCAUAGGCCCCAUGGGAACAGCAGAAGCAGCGGUGGGAGAGGAGGAGGACAGGGAAAAGGGGACUGCAAGCUCCUGGCUUCGGCAGCAGGACCCAUACCAAGGCAGAACAGCUGGGGAGAGCUGUAGCCAGCAUGGUGACAGCCAACAAAGGCGAUGGACCAACUAAGCCACAGACUGCCAACUGCUCAGGAGAGGAGGGUGAAAGCAGAAAGCAAGACUAUCUUAAAGAUGCUAACAAGAUAGUCUGGGAAAGCCUGGGUUCCCAACAAGGUUGAAAUACUAACAAUUAAAAAGCUGGAUGAGC